AACGAACGCUGGCGGCGUGCCUAACACAUGCAAGUCGAGCGCGAACGUCACCUUCGGGUGGCUAGUAGAGCGGCGCACGGGUGAGUAACACGUGGGUAAUCUACCUUUGGGUUUGGAAUAACCCGGGGAAACCCGGGCUAAUGCCAGAUAAGACCACGGUUCUAACGUUUCGUGGGAAAAGUGGGGGACCUCUUCGGAGGCCUCACGCCUGAAGAUGGGCCCGCGGCCCAUCAGCUAGUUGGCGGGGUAAUGGCCCACCAAGGCAAAGACGGGUAGCUGGUCUGAGAGGAUGAUCAGCCACACUGGAACUGAGAUACGGUCCAGACUCCUACGGGAGGCAGCAGUGGGGAAUUUUGCGCAAUGGGCGAAAGCCUGACGCAGCAACGCCGCGUGAGUGAUGAAGGUCUUCGGAUCGUAAAGCUCUGUCGGGAGGAACGAUGCGCACGAGGGAUAACAUCCCGAGUGCCUGACGGUACCUCCAAAGUAAGCACCGGCUAACU
rnacentral:rRNA from 1 species